rnacentral:misc_RNA from 1 species
GGAAAGGACACACUAUUUGAAUACCUAGAAAACCCCAAGAAAUACAUCCCUGGAACAAAGAUGGUGUUUGCAGGCAUUAAGAAGGCCCAGGAGCGAGGACAUCUGAUUGCUUACCUUGAAAGUUCAACAAAAUAACCAUGGCAACAAUAGGAUUCUAAAUUAUUGAUUUUGUUUUUUACCAAGUACAUUUGAGAUUUUAAAAUUUCUAUAUAUAUCAUUCAUUACAAACUGCUAGUUGAAAAGGAAAUUAUUGUGAGAAUUUGGGAAGCAUAAUGCAGUUGACUUGCCGUAACAUGUUGAACCUUUUACUAUGAACUCUCUUGAAUAAGUUCUUGGUAAUUUUCAGAUGUAAUACAUUGAAUUUGAUACCUUCAGAUGUGAACCAGUCUCAAUGAUGGAUUUGUUUUAAUACAUGUAGAUACCUGCCCCAGGAUGGGCAGUUUUCUCAUUGCUGAACAUCAUAACAUUUUAAUGCAACUAUUUUAACAUGUAUUUUAUAUAGUUAACAACAAGUUUUGUGUUUUAAAUAAAAAAAGUUGGAAUUGCU